rnacentral:rRNA from 1 species
AGAACGAACGCUGGCGGCAAGCUUAACACAUGCAGGUCGAACGGAUUUUUGUCGUAGCUUGCUAUGAUAAAAAUUAGUGGCAGACGGGUGAGUAAUGCAUAGGAAUCUACCUAGUAGUAUGGGAUAGCCACUAGAAAUGGUGGGUAAUACUGUAUAAUCCCUGCGGGGGAAAGAUUUAUCGCUAUUAGAUGAGCCUAUGUUAGAUUAGCUAGUUGGUAGGGUAAAGGCCUACCAAGGCAGUGAUCUAUAGCUGGUCUGAGAGGAUGAUCAGCCACACUGGAACUGAGAUACGGUCCAGACUCCUACGGGAGGCAGCAGUGGGGAAUAUUGGACAAUGGGCGCAAGCCUGAUCCAGCUAUGCCGCGUGAGUGAGGAAGGCCUUAGGGUUGUAAAACUCUUUCAGUGGGGAAGAUAAUGACGGUACCCACAGAA